UAAUACGGAGGGUGCAAGCGUUAAUCGGAAUUACUGGGCGUAAAGCGCGCGUAGGUGGUUAGGUAAGUCAGAUGUGAAAGCCCCGGGCUUAACCUGGGAACUGCAUUUGAUACUGCCUGGCUAGAGUAUGGUAGAGGGGGGUGGAAUUCCCGGAGUAGCGGUGAAAUGCGUAGAUAUCGGGAGGAACACCAGUGGCGAAGGCGGCCCCCUGGACCAAUACUGACGCUGAGGUGCGAAAGCGUGGGGAGCAAACAGG
rnacentral:rRNA from 1 species